rfam:Myotis brandtii contig184073, whole genome shotgun sequence.
GGCGUUUCUCGGGUGAUGCACCCCAAUAUUGGGCUCCCUCCUCUCUGGUUCCGGGUGCGUCACCCGAGAACUGAA